GACAGAGGGGUGCAAACGUUGCUCGGAAUUACUGGGCGUAAAGCGCACGUAGGCGGAUUUGUAAGUCAGGGGUGAAAUCCCGGGGCUCAACCUCGGAACUGCCUUUGAUACUGCAAAUCUCGAGUCCGAUAGAGGUGGGUGGAAUUCCUAGUGUAGAGGUGAAAUUCGUAGAUAUCUGGAGGAACACCGAUGGCGAAGGCAGUCACUGGGCCGCAACUGACGCUGAGGAGCGAAAGCAUGGGGAGCGAACAGG
rnacentral:rRNA from 1 species